rnacentral:rRNA from 1 species
AGAAUCAACGCUGGCGGCGUGCCUAACACAUGCAAGUCGAACGAGAAAGUGGAGCAAUCCAUCAGUAAAGUGGCGCACGGGUGAGUAACACGUGACUAACCUACCUUUUAGUGGGGGAUAACCUAGGGAAACCUGGGCUAAUACCGCAUAAUACCUACGGGUCAAAGCAGCAAUGCGCUGAAAGAGGGGGUCGCGGUCGAUUAGUUAGUUGGCAGGGUAAUGGCCUACCAAGACUGUGAUCGAUAUCCGGCCUGAGAGGGCGCACGGACACACUGGAACUGAAACACGGUCCAGACUCCUACGGGAGGCAGCAGUGGGGAAUUUUGCGCAAUGGGGGAAACCCUGACGCAGCAACGCCGCGUGGAGGAUGAAGUCCCUUGGGACGUAAACUCCUUUCGAUCGGGACGAUAAUGGCGGUACCGGAAGAAGAAGCCCCGGCUAACUUCGCGCCAGCAGCCGC